rnacentral:rRNA from 1 species
GCAUCGAUGAAGAACACGGCGAAAUGUGAUAAGUAAUGUGAAUUGCAGAAUUCAGUGAAUCAUCGAAUCUUUGAACGCACCUUGCGCUCCUUGGUAUUCUGAGGAGCAUGCCUGUUUGAGUGUCAUAGGUGUUAUCAACCCUUUUGACUUUUUGUUGA